UAAAUGAUUUUUUCUGAUUAAUAUAUUUUAUUAUUGUUUUUAGUUUAUGAAUUUAAAUGUUAAUAAAAUAAUAUUUUUUUUAGUUUGAUAAUGAAAAAUUUAGGAUAAUUAUGAAAGUAUUGAAAAAGAAAAAUUUUAUAAAAAGAGAAGUUGAAAUUAUUUUUGUACCUUUUGUAUCAGGGUUUGAAGAAAAGAAGUUAGAAUAAAUUAGUCUCGAAAAAUUAAGAUUUAAUUUUUUAUAAUUGUUAAUGUUUAAAAAUUAAUAUUAAAUAGAAAAUUGGUAGUGAAAAGCUAGUCGGUUAGUUAGGAUUCUAGUUUUUGAAUAAAUUAAUUUAAUUAAGUUUCAAAUUUUUAUAUAAAUAAAUAUAAGGAAUAAUUUGGGAUAAAAUUAUGAAGAGUUUAGUUUUUAUAAUUUUUAUAUUUAAAGGAAGAAAAAAUUUUUUUAGAAUUGUUAUUGUUUAUAAUUUUUAAUUUUUAGAAAAGAAAAUUUUUUUAGUUUAAUUUAUAUUAAAUUAAUAUUUUAUUUAAAUUAUUAUUUGAAUAAUAAAAAUAAAAGAAAAAUUUUAAAAUAAGUAAAUGUUAUUUAAAUUAUUAUAUAGGAACUCGGCAAAUUUAAUUUUCGCUUGUUUAUCAAAAACAUGUCUUUAAGAAUUUUAUUUAAAGUCCAGUCUGCUCACUGAUUGUUUUAAAGAGCUGCAGUAUAAUGACUGUACAAAGGUAGCAUAAUCAAUAGUUUUUUAAUUGAAAACUGGAAUGAAAGAUUAGACGAGAAAUUGACUUUCUUUAUAAUAAAAAAUUGAAUUUAAAUUUUAAGUGAAAAUGCUUAGAUGUUAUUAAAAGACGAGAAGACCCUAUAGAUUUUUAUUAAUUUUAGAUUAAAUUAUUAUUUAAUAAAAAGUUAAUUUAAUUGGGGCGAUUUUGUAAUAAGAAAAACUUAAUAUAUUUAAACCAUAAAUAAUUGAAUUUUUUGAAUUGAAAUUUUUAGUAAAUAGAUUAAAUUACCUUAGGGAUAACAGCGUAAUUUUAUUUAAGAGUUCAUAUCUAUAAUAAAGAUUGCGACCUCGAUGUUGAAUUAAGAACUUCAUUGGAGUAGAAAUUAAUGUUAAGUAGUCUGUUCGACUAUUAAAUUCUUACAUGAUUUGAGUUCAGACCGGCGUGAGCCAGGUCAGUUUCUAUCUUUAAUAUAAUUUUGUUAAUGGGUACGAAAGGACAAUUAAUAAAUAAAAUUUAUUUUGAAUUU
rnacentral:rRNA from 1 species